AAUGGGUGGUAAAUUUCAUCUAAAGCUAAAUAUUGGCGAGAGNCCGAUAGCGAACAAGUNCCGUGAGGGAAAGAUGAAAAGAACUUUGNAAAGAGAGUUAAACAGUACGNGAAAUUGUUGAAAGGGAAACGUUUGAAAUCAGUCAUGUGAAUAAGUAAUCANCUUGRCAAUUUUUUUUUUGUCUUGNGCACUUUCUUAUUUACAGGUCAGCGUCAGUUUUGAUUGUUGGACAAAAGCCAAGUGGAAUGUAGCCCCUUUUCGGGGGGGUAUUAUAGCCCUGGUCGAUACAAUGGUUAGGACUGAGGUCUGCAGCCAAUACCCUUUUUUGGGUUGGAAAAUCAUUAAUCUCGUAUNUUGACCGAGCUUAGACAGCUUGCUGACUAAGUUUGGCUCAGCUGCGACUUUUUAGGAAUUCUUC
rnacentral:rRNA from 1 species